CAUCUAGCACCUAGUUUGCAACACAGUGAUUCUCUGCAAGAGUUGCUGCUGAACAAAUGCUGGGAGCAGAUAGGAAGGGAAGCUCUCCCAUCCAGCACUCAAUCAAGGACCCAGGAGCCAAGUUGAGGACCCUCAGGAGUGAGGACAGAGGUGGGGGGCAUCCUCCCACAAGGUCAGGAGAAUCCAGCUCCACUCCUGAUGACAGCCCUGGGAGACCCCGGACAGAUCUCUCAGGCUGUGAGCCCCCCUAAUUUCUGCCUUGGAGGGUACUCAGAGAAGUGAGAGCCUUGGCUGGAAGCGGCAGGUUCAGGUCACAAGAGGAAGGAGUCUCAGGACUUGCCAGGAGACAAGGAGCUCCAGGAACCAGAAGUGAAGGCCCAGGCGUGUGGCCUGCGUCCUCAAGUCACAGAGUAGGAGGCCCAGGCCGUGCAAAGGCAAAGGUGAGCAGAGGAGGGAGCCCUGAGGGGACCACCCACCCGGCAAGAGUCCUGUCCACCCCUCCUACCAGCACUGGGGGCCCCAGGCUGUGCCACGGUCUACACCCACAGUGGCCCCUCAAUUUCUCUUACAGGGUCUCCAGGAACCAGAGGCGAAGGCCCAGGUGUGAGACCCACGUCCUUGUGUCACAGAGCAGGAGGCCCAGGUGUCCAGGUGAGGUGUGUGCCCCGAGUGUGUACCUAAGGGCUCCCCAUCCCAGAACAGAGGGGACCCCACAAGGCCAAGUCACCCCACCCUCAGGGAGCCCCAGAACCA
rnacentral:lncRNA from 9 species